GUGCUUGCUUUGGCAGCACAUACACUAAAAUUGGAAUGAUAUAGAGAAGAUUACAUAGCCCUGCACAAGGGUGACGUGCAAAUUCAUGAAGCAUUCCUUUA
rnacentral:snRNA from 1 species